rnacentral:rRNA from 1 species
UACGGGGGGGGCAAGCGUUGUUCGGAAUUACUGGGCGUAAAGGGCUCGUAGGUGGCCAACUAAGUCAGACGUGAAAUCCCUCGGCUUAACCGGGGAACUGCGUCUGAUACUGGAUGGCUUGAGUUCGGGAGAGGGAUGCGGAAUUCCAGGUGUAGCGGUAGAAUGCGUAGAUAUCUGGAGGAACACCGGUGGCGAAGGCGGCAUCCUGGACCGGCACUGACACUGAGGAGCGAAAGCCAGGGGAGCAAACGGG